CCUACGGGAGGCAGCAGUGGGGAAUAUUUCACAAUGGGCGCAAGCCUGAUGUAGCCAUGCCGCGUGUAUGAAGAAGGCCUUCGGGUUGUAAAGUACUUUCAGCGGGGAGGAAGGGAGUAAAGUUAAUACCUUUGCUCAUUGACGUUACCCGCAGAAGAAGCACCGGCUAACUCCGUGCCAGCAGCCGCGGUAAUACGGAGGGUGCAAGCGUUAAUCGGAAUUACUGGGCGUAAGGCGCACGCAGGCGGUUUGUUAAGUCAGAUGUGAAAUCCCCGGGCUCAACCUGGGAACUGCAUCUGAUACUGGCAAGCUUGAGUCUCGUAGAGGGGGGUAGAAUUCCAGGUGUAGCAGUGAAAUGCGUAGAGAUCUGGAGGAAUACCGGUGGCGAAGGCGGCCUGCUGGACAUUAACUGACGCUGAGGCGCGAAAGCGUGGGGAGCAAACAGGAUUAGAUACCCGGGUAGUC
rnacentral:rRNA from 1 species